ACGAACGCUGGCGGCGUGCUUAAUACAUGCAAGUCGAACGGAAAGGCCCUGCUUUUGUGGGGUGCUCGAGUGGCGAACGGGUGAGUAACACGUGAGUAACCUGCCCUUGACUUUGGGAUAACUUCAGGAAACUGGGGCUAAUACCGGAUAGGAGCUCCUGCUGCAUGGUGGGGGUUGGAAAGUUUCGGCGGUUGGGGAUGGACUCGCGGCUUAUCAGCUUGUUGGUGGGGUAGUGGCUUACCAAGGCUUUGACGGGUAGCCGGCCUGAGAGGGUGACCGGCCACAUUGGGACUGAGAUACGGCCCAGACUCCUACGAGAGGCAGCAGUGGGGAAUAUUGCACAAUGGGCGGAAGCCUGAUGCAGCAACGCCGCGUGCGGGAUGACGGCCUUCGGGUUGUAAACCGCUUUCGCCUGUGACGAAGCGUGAGUGACGGUAAUGGGUAAAGAAGCACCGGCUAACUACGUG
rnacentral:rRNA from 1 species